GGUCGGAGUCUCCUGGAUGGCUAAGGUCUGUGAUGAAGGCGCUGAUGAUGAUGUCGAGUCACCUGCAAUUACGUGGUCAUUCUUAGUAAAUGGUGCGCGCGAAAUAAAAUAUUCGAGUGUUUUAUCAAGUUAUAAAUGUAUAAACAACGACUGCACCGAGACUAUCUAUCCGAUAAAAGCGUUAAAAGGAUCCAAUAAUUCCAUCAAUGAAUCGAAGAAAUAUCCUUUUUAUGAUGAACGUAUCAAAAUGGCUACGCGUUCGAAGCUUAUCGUUUUGUCUGUGGUUAAUCGAGCGACUGUUCUACGUAAUAUCGUGAGAUUUUAGUAGGUCGUAUCAUUCGUAACGCUAAUGUUUCUUCUUAAACCGUGGUAAUCCUAUUAUGAUAAUAUAACGUUCCCGAGUAUUACAUAAUAAUAUCGAUCUCGGUAGGUAAAGCUUACCCAAGAGGGCAGCUUCUAAGUCUCCUAAGAUCUCCGUUUCCUUGGGAUCGAUAAGGUUGAAGCGUUGAUUAAGGAGCGUGAGGU